rnacentral:tRNA from 1 species
UCUUUGGUGGUCCAGUGGUUAGGACUCCACAUUCCCAAUGGAGGGGGCCUGGGUUCAAUCCCUGGUCAGGGAA